AGUGAACGCUGGCGGUAGGCCUAACACAUGCAAGUCGAACGGCAGCACAGUAAGAGCUUGCUCUUACGGGUGGCGAGUGGCGGACGGGUGAGGAAUACAUCGGAAUCUACUUUUUCGUGGGGGAUAACGUAGGGAAACUUACGCUAAUACCGCAUACGACCUACGGGUGAAAGCAGGGGAUCUUCGGACCUUGCGCGAUUGAAUGAGCCGAUGUCGGAUUAGCUAGUUGGCGGGGUAAAGGCCCACCAAGGCGACGAUCCGUAGCUGGUCUGAGAGGAUGAUCAGCCACACUGGAACUGAGACACGGUCCAGACUCCUGCGGGAGGCAGCAGUGGGGAAUAUUGGACAAUGGGCGCAAGCCUGAUCCAGCCAUACCGAGUGGGUGAAGAAGGCCUUCGGGUUGUAAAGCCCUUUUGUUGGGAAAGAAAAGCAGCAGGUUAAUACCCCGCUGUUCUGACGGUACCCAAAGAAUAAGCACCGGCUAACUUCGUG
rnacentral:rRNA from 1 species